UAGGGAAUAUUGCACAAUGGGGGAAACCCUGAUGCAGCGACGCCGCGUGAGUGAUGAAGGCCUUCGGGUCGUAAAGCUCUGUCGUAUGGGACUAACACAAUGAAGGUACCAUGCAAGAAAGGAUCGGCUAACUUCGUGCCAGCAGCCGCGGUAAGACGAGGGAUCCUAGCGUUGUUCGGAAUUAUUGGGCGUAAAGCGGGUGUAGGCGGACUUGUAAGUCAGGUGUGAAAUCCCAGGGCUUAACCCUGGAAGUGCACUUGAUACUGCAAGUCUUGAGUGUGGUAGAGGCUAUUAGAAUUCCUGGUGUAGUGGUGAAAUACGUAGAUAUCAGGAGGAAUACCGGAGGCGAAGGCGGAUAGCUGGGCCAACACUGACGCUGAGACCCGAAAGCGUGGGGAUC
rnacentral:rRNA from 1 species